GAGAGAGAGAGAGAGAGAGACAUCUGUAGUUGUGUGUGACUCAUGACAAACGGCAUUCAAUAUUAGAUAAAGUUUAUUAUGUUAUCAAAGUCUGACAAUAAAAUAUGCAAAAAUCUAUAACUCAGUCAUUCAUACACAAAGAGGAAAAUAUAUAAAAUGCUGGGUCUCACCAGAUCAUGUUCCAUACAAAAUACUGUUAAGUUUAGAGCAGCAAAGUAACUGCCAAACAUUCCCUGAAUUUUAGAGGGUCUUGAAUACACCUUGCUCCAAGAAAUAUCUUAAUACCAAAUAUUCCUUCCUUUGGCCUGCAACUCCUUUGCAAUUAUUGCUUGAUAUUAAAAUCUUCUGUUCCAAGCAGAAUCACAUAGUGACCCUGCAGCAGCACUUUAGUAACAGCUGAAGUUCUCUCUUUACAUUUUGUUAGAAAUAAAAAAUACAUUUUGGUCCUUAACUACUUUUGGUUUCUGAAAAUAUCCUGAAAAUGAAGAUUAGGAGAAAAAUUGACAUUCACAAAUGGUAAGUAAUUAGCAUAACUCAGAAGGAAUUUCAGCAAAUUACACCUUUCAAACCAGCGAAGCAAAGCACCUGAGGUACUUUACUUUAUUUUCCUCUUUCCAGCAAUAAUUAUUUCCUCAGAUUAGUUUCUCCACAAGAAUGUAGAAUACUUAAGACUGCAUACUUUAACAGUCUUACAGCCAACCCGAAGAAUAGCUCUGUGUAAACUUGAAAGCUUGUCUUUCACUAACGGAAGUUGGUCCAAGAGAUAUUACAUGUCACCCAUCUUGACUAAUAUCCUGGGACCAACAUGGCUAUAAAAACACUGCAAACAACCCUACUAAAGUGAUUCUAAAUAGACUUGGUUUGCCCUCUAAUGCAGAGGGUCACACAAUAAAGAAAGACUUCUAGUAGAAAAGGGAAAUGCACAAUGUAACUACUUCCACCUUUUGGGAUGAAUACCCCUGUAUUUCAGGUACUCCAUUUAUUUCACACUGAGGACAUCUCUAUCCUGGGAUUGCACGGUAGACAAAAGAGCAGGGCUCAGGAGGAUUUGAUGGAAAAUGAGAAAUCAGACUUGUGAUCUGUCUUACAAAGCACCCCCAACCAAAGGGGAAAAAAUCUAAAGCAUGAAGCCAGCAGCCUUAGACUCUUGAUGCUAAAUCAUCAACUUACUAAAGUUAAGGACAACUGGAUUCUCUUCAAUUUUUCCAAGACAUCAAAUAAGGAACUUCAGAAUUCCCCCAGGAGUAAAGAGUGUAAGUAACCCAGAAGAAAGUAAACAGGAUGCUCCUAUACAUGAACAAGUGCACUUUCUGAACACCUACAUAAAAAAUACCACCCAUGCUGUACCAAAAAAAAAUAUAUACAUAUACAUAUAUACACACACACACACACACACACCAUCCUGCAAAAUGCAGUACAUAUACCAAGUCAACAGCUAUACAAUGCCUUGAAAUACCACCCAAAGUGUGCAGCAAGAAUAUGAAUUAACCAAAAGAAAAAGGGAGAGGAAAAAAAAGAUUUUAAUUGUUAAGUUUCAAAAAAUAUGCUGUAUUUUUAAACUCACUAGAUGGCACUAUUGAUUCUCUAGUCCAGUAAGGAGGGCUGCAGCACAAUACCGCUGGUGCCCUAAUUAAGCUUGCCAGCAUUUCCAUACAAUUGCAGCUGACGGUCAACAUACUACCACCUGAUUAAGAAAGGAAACCGGAAGAGAGUAGAGUGAACACCACAAAGUCCUGAAGAUGCUCCUGUCACAUUGCUGAGGAAAAUGUUUUCUAUCUUGUCUUUAACACUGAAGUUGUUCCUUGUAGCUCUUGUUUGAAACCAGUUAAUAGACUUGUGCUUAAACACG